rnacentral:rRNA from 1 species
AUUUAAUUUUUAUUUUAGCAGUUUAGAUUGAUUGUAUUUUAAUAGAAAUAACUUUUUUCUUAGUUUAUGUUAUAUAAAAGAUAUAUAUGUUAGUUAUAGAGUAAUAGUACCGUGAGGGAAUAUUAAAUACUUAAUUAUAAGUAUAUUUUAUUUGUAGUACCUUUUGUAUCAGGGUGUAUUUAAUUAUAAUUAAAUAUUUAAUAUUCCCGAAGCUAGAAGAGAUAUUGUUAGAUGUUUAAUUUUAUUACAAUAAAAUAUAUAAUUUAACAAUAGAUAUUAUAUGUAAUUCGAUUCUAGUAUAUCUGGUUCUUUAAGAGAUAAAUUUAAUUUAGGUUUUAUUAUUUAUAUAUUAUAAUUUUAUUUAAUAUAUAUUAAUAAUGCUAAUAUUAUUGGGGAUAAGCUCAAUAUUAUUGAUUAUAAUUUGGAUUUGUUUAUUAAUAUUUUGUAGGAUUAAAACCUUCCAUCUUUUAUUUCGUUAUAGUUAAUUUUUAAUAUUGAUUUAUUUAUUCUAUUUUAAUUUUGUAUUAAAGUUAUUUAAUUAAUUGAGUUUUAUAUUUAAUAUUGAUAUAAUUAGUAUUUUUAUAAUUAAAAUAUAUUAACUCGGCAAAUAUUAUCUUCACCUGUUUAACAAAAACAUGUCUUUUAUGUAUUUUUAUUUAAAGUCAGGCCUGCUCUAUGAUUUAUUAAAUGGCCGCAGUAUAUUAACUGUGCAAAGGUAGCAUGAUCAUUUGUUUCUUAAUUGGGAACUUGUAUGAAUGGUCUUAUGAGGGAUAAGCUUUAUUUAUUUUAUUAUAGUGAAGUUAACUUUUGAGUUAAAAGGCUUAAAUGGUUUUAAGGGACGAUAAGACCCUAUAGAACUUUAUUUAUAUUUAUUUAUUAUUAUAUUUGAUGUAUAUUUGGUGGUAUAUAAGUAUAAAUUUUGUUGGGGAGACAGGUAAAUUUAUAUAGCUUAAUUUUUUUUUAUUCAUUAAUUAGUGUAUAUUUGAUCCAAUUAAUAUUGAUUAUAAGAUUAAGUUACCUUAGGGAUAACAGCGUAAUUCUUUUGGAGAGUUCAUAUUAAUGAAGGAGUUUGCGACCUCGAUGUUGGAUUAAAAUAAGUUUAUGGUGCAGUAGCUAUAAAAUUAGGUCUGUUCGACCUUUAAAUUUUUACAUGAUCUGAGUUAAAAUCGGCGUGAGCCAGAUUGGUUUCUAUCUUUAAUUUUAUUAAAGUAUUUUAGUACGAAAGGGCCAAAUACUUGGAAUAAUUUUUGUUUUUUAUUAUUAAAUU